CACAUGACAAGUACGAACGGCAGCGGCGGGACACCGUGGCGGCGAGUGGCGAACGGGUGAGUAAUAUAGUACGGAACGUACCAGAAGGUGGGGAUAACGUAGACGAAAGUUACGCUAAUACCGCAUACGAUCUACGGAUGAAAGUGGGGGACCUUCGGGCCUCAUGCUUUUGGAGCGGCCGAUAUCUGAUUAGCUAGUUGGUGAGGUAAAGGCUCACCAAGGCGACGAUCAGUAGCUGGUCUGAGAGGACGACCAGCCACACUGGGACUGAGACACGGCCCAGACUCCUACGGGAGGCAGCAGUGGGGAAUUUUGGACAAUGGGGGCAACCCUGAUCCAGCAAUGCCGCGUGAGUGAAGAAGGCCUUCGGGUUGUAAAGCUCUUUUGUCAGGGAAGAAACGGUUCUAGCUAAUAUCUGGAGCUAAUGACGGUACCUGAAGAAUAAGCACCGGCUAACUACGUG
rnacentral:rRNA from 1 species